rnacentral:rRNA from 1 species
CCGUAACUAUAACGGUCCUAAGGUAGCGAAAUUCCUUGUCGGGUAAGUUCCGACCCGCACGAAAGGCGUAAUGAUUUGAGCGCUGUCUCGACAAUGCAUCCGGUGAAAUUGAAGUACCAGUGAAGAUGCUGGUUACCUGCGCCAGGACGGAAAGACCCCAUGGAGCUUUACUCCAGUCUGGUACUGGGACUCGGUAUUGCAUGUACAGGAUAGGUGGGAGGCUGAGAAAUGGUAACGCCAGUUGCCAUGGAGCCGCUGUUGGGAUACCACCCUUGCAGUAUUGGGUUUCUAACCAGCCGCCGUGACCCGGCGGUGGGACAAUGCCAGACGGGGAGUUUGACUGGGGCGGUCGCCUCCGAAAGGGUAUCGGAGGCGCCCAAAGGUUCCCUCAGAAUGGACGGAAACCAUUCGAAGAGUGCAAAGGCAGAAGGGAGCUUGACUGCGACACCGACGGGUGGAGCAGGUACGAAAGUAGGGCUUAGUGAUCCGGUGGUAUUAAGUGGGAAUGCCAUCGCUCAACGGAUAAAAGCUACCCUGGGGAUAACAGGCUUAUCACUCCCAAGAGUUCACAUCGACGGAGUGGUUUGGCACCUCGAUGUCGGCUCAUCGCAUCCUGGGGCUGUAGUAGGUCCCAAGGGUUGGGCUGUUCGCCCAUUAAAGCGGUACGCGAGCUGGGUUCAGAACGUCGUGAGACAGUUCGGUCCCUAUCCGGCGUGGGCGUAGGAUAUCUGAGAGGAGCUGUCCUUAGUACGAGAGGACCGGGAUGGACGGGCCGCUGGUGCAUCGGUUAGACUGCCAAGUCUACGGCCGAGUAGCCAAGCCCGGAAGGGAUAAACGCUGAAGGCAUCUAAGCGUGAAGCCCCCCUUAAGAUGAGAUAUCCCAUUCGAAAGAAGUAAGCCCCCUUGAAGACGACGAGGUAGAUAGGGCAGAGGUGGAAGUGCAGUAAUGCAUGGAGCUGACUGUUACUAAUCGGGUGAGGGCUUGACCAA